rnacentral:rRNA from 1 species
CCCUUAGAUGUCCUGGGCCGCACGCGUGCUACACUGAUGCAUACAGCGAGUACUCCCAGCUCCGCGAGGCUGCUGGUAAUCAGCAAUAUGCAUCGUGAUGGGGAUAGAUCUUUGGAAUUAUAGAUCUUGAACGAGGAAUUCCUAGUAAACGCAAGUCAUCACCUUGCGUUGACUAAGUCCCUGCCCUUUGUACACACCGCCCGUCGCUCCUACCGAUUUCGAGUGAUCCGGUGAAUCAUUCGGACCGCGUGGGCUUGACCUAACGUGGAAAGUCUAGUAAACCAUAUCACUUAGAGGAAGGAGAAGUCGUAACA